rnacentral:rRNA from 1 species
AUUGAACGCUGGCGGAAUGCUUUACACAUGCAAGUCGAACGGCAGCACAGAAGAGCUUGCUCUUUGGGUGGCGAGUGGCGGACGGGUGAGUAAUGUCUGGGAAACUGCCCGAUGGAGGGGGAUAACUACUGGAAACGGUAGCUAAUACCGCAUAACGUCGCAAGACUAAAGUGGGGGACCUUCGGGCCUCACACCAUCGGAUGUGCCCAGAUGGGAUUAGCUAGUAGGUGGGGUAAUGGCUCACCUAGGCGACGAUCCCUAGCUGGUCUGAGAGGAUGACCAGCCACACUGGAACUGCGACACGGUCCAGACUCCUACGGGAGGCAGAAGUGGGGAAUAUUGCACAAUGGGCGCAAGCCUGAUGUAGCCAUGCCGCGUGUAUGAAGAAGGCCUUCGGGUUGUAAAGUACUUUCAGCGGGGAGGAAGGCGGUGAGGUUAAUAACCUUGCCGAUUGACGUUACCCGCAGAAGAAGCACCGGCUAACUCCGUGCCAGCCGCCGCUGUAAAAC